rnacentral:snRNA from 1 species
GUGCUUGCUUUGGCAGCACAUAUACUAAAAAAAAUUGGAACGAUGCAGAGAAGAUUAGCAUGGCUCCUGCACAAGGAUGACAUGCAAAUUUGUGAAGCGUUCCAUAUUAAA